UACAGAGGUCUCGAGCGUUAGGCGGAAUCACUGGGCUUAAAGCGUGUGUAGGCGGGUCGUUAAGUGCCUUGUGAAAUCCCAUGGCUCAACCAUGGAACUGCUGGGCAUACUGGCGAUCUUGUGCAACCUAGGGGCGAGCGGAACAGAUGGUGGAGCGGUGAGAUGCGUAGAUAUCAUCUGGAACGCCAAUGGUGAAAACAGCUCGCUGGGGGUUUGCAGACGCUGAGACACGAAAGCCAGGGGAGCGAACGGG
rnacentral:rRNA from 1 species